rnacentral:rRNA from 1 species
UACGGAGGGGGCUAGCGUUGUUCGGAAUUACUGGGCGUAAAGAGCUCGUAGGUGGUUUGUCGCGUUGUCCGUGAAAACUCACAACUCAAUUGUGGGCGUGCGGGCGAUACGGGCAGACUGGAGUACUGCAGGGGAGACUGGAAUUCCUGGUGUAGCGGUGGAAUGCGCAGAUAUCAGGAGGAACACCGGUGGCGAAGGCGGUUCUCUGGGCAUUACCUGACGCUGAGGAGCGAAAGUGUGGGGAGCGAACAGG